GCAGUGGGGAAUAUUGCACAAUGGGCGCAAGCCUGAUGCAGCCAUGCCUCGUGUAUGAAGAAGGCCUUCGGGUUGUAAAGUACUUUCAGUUGUGAGGAAGGGUGUGUAGUUAAUAGCUGCGCAUCUUGACGUUAGCAACAGAAGAAGCACCGGCUAACUC
rnacentral:rRNA from 1 species